GCAAGUCGAACGGACCGUACACGUAGCUUUCUGCGUGUAUGGUUAGUGGCAGACGGGUGAGUAAUGCAUAGGAAUCUGCCUAGUAGUAUAGGAUAGCCACUAGAAGUGGUGGGUAAUACUGUAUAAUCCCUGCGGGGGAAAGAUUUAUCGCUACAUGAUGAGCCUAUGUUAGAUUAGCUAGUUGGUGGGGUAAUGGCCUACCAAGGCAGUGAUCUAUAGCUGGUCUGAGAGGAUGAUCAGCCACACUGGAACUGAGACACGGUCCAGACUCCUACGGGAGGCAGCAGUGGGGAAUAUUGGACAAUGGGCGCAAGCCUGAUCCAGCUAUGCCGCGUGAGUGAGGAAGGCCUUAGGGUUGUAAAACUCUUUCAGUGGGGAAGAUAAUGACGGUACCCACAGAAAAAGUCCCGGCAAACUC
rnacentral:rRNA from 1 species